AGAGUUUGAUCCUGGCUCAGAAUCAACGCUGGCGGCGCGCUUAACACAUGCAAGUCGCACGAGAAAGUGGAGCAAUCCAUGAGUACAGUGGCGUACGGGUGAGUAACACGUGGAUAAUCUACCCUUUAGUGGGGAAUAACCCUGGGAAACCGGGGCUAAUACCGCAUAAGCCUGGAAAGGGAAAGCAGCAAUGCGCUGAAGGAGGAGUCCGCGGCCGAUUAGCUAGUUGGUAGGGUAAUGGCCUACCAAGGCAAUGAUCGGUAGCCGGCCUGAGAGGGCACACGGCCACACUGGCACUGAAACACGGGCCAGACUCCUACGGGAGGCAGCAGUGGGGAAUCUUGCACAAUGGGGGAAACCCUGAUGCAGCGACGCCGCGUGAGCGAUGAAGCCCUUCGGGGUGUAAAGCUCUUUCGGCAGGAACGAUAAUGACGGUACCUGAAGAAGAAGCUGCGGCUAACUACGUGCCAGCAGCCGCGGUAAUACGUAGGCAGCAAGCGUUGUUCGGAGUUACUGGGCGUAAAGAGUGUGUAGGCUGUUCUCUAAGUUUGGUGUGAAAUCUCCCGGCUUAACUGGGAGGGUGCGCCGAAAACUGGAGGGCUUGAGUAUGGGAGAGGAAAGCGGAAUUCCUGGUGUAGCGGUGAAAUGCGUAGAUAUCAGGAGGAACACCUGCGGUGUAGACGGCUUUCUGGACCAUCACUGACGCUGAGACACGAAAGCGUGGGGAGCAAACAGGAUUAGAUACCCUAGUAGUCC
rnacentral:rRNA from 1 species